AAAUUAAUUUUGAUUAUUAUUUCAAUUGAACUAGUUAAGGUUUAGAGUAAAAUUAUAGUUUAUGGUCUAAGUAUUUAGAUUUUUUAGAUUUAUUGCAGUUGGGUUUGAGAAUAAGUUAGUUUAUUUUAAAUUAUUUUUUUAUUUAGAUUACUAUUUCAGUUGAACUGAUUAUAGUUUAGGGUUAAAUUAUAUGUUAUGGUUUAGAUAGUUAGAUUAAGUUUAAAUAUGUUUGAUAAAAAAUAAGUUAACUUAAAAUUAUUGUAUUUUAAUUUAUUCUAUCCUAUUGUAGUUUCAUGGCGCAAAAUAUGUUAGAGUAUAAGAAUACCUUUUAUAGGCGAGAUCCGAUCGACUACAUUGCUGGCAGAUUAGGCCAAAUGGUGCCUCAAAUCUUGCGUACAAGAAGAAACUUACUACAGCAGCCAUCCGAGCAGAUUAGGUCACACCUUACACGAGCACGAAAUUUGAGCAUAUAGCGUAUAUGCUAGAGUGGGACCAUUGAUAUUUGCUUUGAUCGAGAGGUACACACUUUUCACUUGUCAUGUGGGAAGAUGACUAUCACCCUUCAUAAUGUGGUGUAUCAGUUGGAACUCAACAUUGAUGGAGAUCCAGUCAGCGACUGCAUCGAUGGAUGGGAACAGUUCUAUAAUGGGCGAUCUAUUGAGGACUUUUAUCAGGAAUUACUAGAAGUUUGUUUCGGGCCCCAUGAUAGACAGUCGUAAAAUAAGUGAAUUGUUAAUCUUACUUGGUUUUAAAAUAUUGUUUGUGGGGAGUUGGAGGAGUACCUGACGAACGAGCACUUACUGUGUUACACCAAAGAUUACAUCAUACAGAUCAUCAGAGACAUUCUAUUUCUGGAUACCUCUUACUCUCGGGUGCACAUUAGGUUGUCGCCUCUAUUAACUGACCUUGAUCGGUGUAGGGCAUUAUCAUGGGGCUCAACUGUGUUGGUGUGGCUAUACCAGCAGAUGUGUAUCAUAACUAUAAAAACAAUAAAUAUCAAAUCUAGGACAAAUAUAUGUCAGAAAGCCCAACGACUACCAUAUUUAAAAAAAUAAUACAAAACCUCGGCCUUAAUAUGGGCUUUUGUUGAAGAUUUAAUAUAUUGAUCCAAUAUCGAAAUUUAGGACCAAUACAAGUUCAAAAAAA